rnacentral:misc_RNA from 1 species
AGCAGAUCAGCCAUGUUAAAGGCGGAGGGUUAAAAAGAAAUACAUUUUUUAAAUAUAGAUAUACGGUAUGUUGUUGGUUUUUUAUGAUAAAAAGUUCUAUAUUUACUAUACAUUUGAUUUUUAUGUAUCUUUUUUAACUACAAUCUACAUAAUUUUUAUCAAUUUAGAACUUUAAUAUAUUUUUUUCAACAAUAUAACUUUCACUUUCACUAUAGAGCUGUUUGUUUUCAUUCGUACACGCUCCCAAAUCGACGUCAACCGGGAGAGUGGAAGCAGUGGAAUAAAACUUAUAUUCAGAAAAACUAUGGAUCCUCAAAACAGUGUCCAGGAUGUGCACCGAUGUGACCUUUGUGAGACCGCCAUAGUACACAGCUACUGUGACUUUUGUCAUGUCAACCUUUGCAUAGCUUGUAUUGGCAAACAUAUCUCAAAUGGGUAUGACAAACAUAAAAUAGUCCCUUUCCAGGAACGCAGGUCAACCCUCAUCUAUCCGAUAUGUAGAACACAUUCACACAAAAAUUGCAAAUUUCAGUGCAAAGAUUGCGAUAAAAUAUUUAUUUGUUCUUCGUGUACUGCAUCUGAACAACACAGAGGGCAUACAUUCCUAGAAGUUUCAGAAGUUUACAAUACAAAGAAAGAAAUUAUAGGAAAAGAUACAGAAGAAUUAGAAAACCUUAUUUCUCCUACAUAUGAAGAAAUUGCACUGGCUUUGGAAACUCAGCUUGCCAACCUGGAUGGGGGAUAUGAGAAACUUACGACAACAAUUUCGAAACAAGGAGAGCAAUGGCACAGGGAAAUCGACAUCAUCAUUAACAAACUGAAAACUGAAAUCAGCGAGAUAAAAGUGAAACACAGAGCAAUUUUACAGAAAUAUUUGGUUGAUAUAAAACAAACACAGUCUCUUAUAACAAAAAUUACAUUACAAGCCAUAAGGAAAAUCGAACAAUCCACUGAAAUAUCUCCUACCAUUGAAUACAGUGCUAAGCUCACAGAAUUAAGAAAACUUCCACCCAAAGUUAAGGUUACACUGCCAACAUUCAUUCCAAAACGAAUAGACGGUGAGACACUGUGUAGUUUGUUUGGACAUAUUACCCCAUUAUCGACUGCUACUGAGGAGAAUUUCUUGUCACUGAAUCAAUCAAAAACCUCAGUUAGAGAACUACUGGAUGAACCGGAGCUUGUUGCCACAAUACAGACUGGGUAUCAAAAUCUACGCAGUGUUACCUAUCUAAAUGAUGACUGUGUUUGGACGUAUGGAUUGACAAAUGAUAUGAAAUGCUUCAACAUUAAUGGUUCACUCCUCCAGGCAGUCAAAACCAAAUCAGAAGAAAGGCCCAGUGAUAUAGCUGUGGACAGGGAUGGGAAUCUUCUGUACUCCAUUCGGACAGCAGGGACAGUGUUCAAAGUAAAAAUGGACAACCAAAAGAUUUUAUCAGAUUACAUGGAUGGGGACCAUGCAAUCUGUGUGUCACCUCUACUGGUGAUCUCCUGGUUACCAUGUGCCGUGAUGAUAAGACUCAAUCCAAAGUUGUUCGUUUCUCGAAGUCUACAGAGAAACAAACAAUUCAAUUUGAUGAUAAAGGUAUACCUCUGUACUCAGGGAAUGAUAAAAUAAAAUACAUCACAGAGAACGGAAAUCAUGACAUCUGUGUUGCUGACUGGUAUGCUCAUGCAAUUGUCGUGGUUAAUCAGGACGGGAAACUCAGAUGGAGGUACACCGGCCAUCCCUCAGUUACCGGGAAGAAACCAUUUGAUCCUUGUGGUAUCACAACAGACAGUCAAAAUCGUAUCCUGACAGCAGACAGUGACAACCAUUGUAUCCACAUUCUUGAUCAGAAUGGACAGUUUCUCAGUUACAUUGAUAAAUGUGAUCUGAAGGAUCCUUGGGGUGUAUGUGUGGACAAUAAUGACAGUUUGUUUGUGUGUGAGUAUUACAAGAGCAGUGUAAAGAAAAUAAAAUAUUUAAAGUAGAAUCAUAAGUUGUGACAUUUACCGAUAUAUUAACCAUUAAACAAGGGUAAACUUUUUAUCGUAUUUUAUAGUUUAUAUAUCAAUGGUGAUUUUAAUAUGAUUGAUUUGAGAUUUGGUAAUGAAUUUUAAUACAUGAAAAUGGUGAUUGAUAUUUAGUGUAAUAAAAG